rnacentral:rRNA from 1 species
AUUGAACGCUGGCGGCAGGCCUAACACAUGCAAGUCGAGCGAGAGGCGGACGGGUGAGUAAUGUAUGGGGAUAUGCCCGGUAGAGGGGGAUAACUACUGGAAACGGUUGCUAAUACCGUCUACUAUCGGCUAAAGCCACAUGGCAUUAGAUAGUAGGUGGGGUAAAGGAUCACCUAGGCGACGAUCUCUAGCUGGGCUGAGAGGAUGAUCAUCCACACUGGAACUGAGACACGGUCCAGACUCCUACGGGAGGCAGCAGUGGGGAAUAUUGGACAAUGGGCGCAAUCCUGAUGCAGCCAUGCCGCGUGUAUGAAGAAGGCCUUCGGUUUGUAAAGUACUUUCAGUCGGGAGGCGUUACCAACAGAAUAAGCACCGGCUAACUCCGUGCCAGCAGCCGCGGUAAUUC